CUCGAUCGCAGCGAGACCCACCCUCAAGCUCCAAGCUCCAAGAACCAUGGCCGCCACCUCGCUGUCGCCGCCGACCGUGGCCGGGCUGCGGCUGGCGCCGUCGCCGCGCGUGCGGUCGCCGUCUGUGGCGUUCAGGGCGGCGCCGGCGAGGAGGAGGUCGGUGGCGGCGAGGGCGGAGCUGAGCCCGUCGCUGGUGAUCAGCCUGAGCACCGGCGUCUCCCUGUUCCUGGGGCGGUUCGUGUUCUUCAACUUCCAGCGGGAGAACGUGGCGAAGCAGGUGCCGGAGCAGAACGGCAAGACGCACUUCGACGCCGGCGACGAGCGCGCCAAGGAGUUCGCCGGCCUGCUCCGGUCCAACGACCCCGUCGGCUUCAACCUCGUCGACGUCCUCGCCUGGGGCUCCCUCGGCCACAUCGUCGCCUACUACAUCCUCGCCACCUGCAGCAACGGAUACAACCCAAACUUCUUCUGAUCAUUCUCAUCUUGGAUGGAUGCAAUGUAAUCUGAAUGGAUCUCUGGUGUUUCUACGUGAUUAUGUAUGAGAUGGGUAAAAAAGAAAAGAAAAAAGG
rnacentral:misc_RNA from 1 species